UUUUUCAAGCAUACCUAAUUAUAAGCAUAAAAAAAAUAUUUUCAAAAAGAAAAGGAAAUCAUGUAAUUAUCAUAUUCCUCCCCCACACCUAAACUAUGCAUUGUCCUUAAUGUAUCAAAAAGAAAAUAGCUCACAAAAGAAAUGAAAAGAAAUAUGAAACUCCCCUGAAUAGUCAAUGGUGAUGGUGGGAAAGGAGGUAGAACCGCC
rnacentral:lncRNA from 1 species